UACCAGCUCGCCUAUCCAACUGCUCGUCUGUUCACCUGCUUACCAGCGCAGCUGCUCGGCAGCUUACCUCCCACCUGCUCACCAGCCCAGCUACUCGCCUGUUCACCCGUUUCAAGGCUUCCCCGCAGGGUCGCGUUCUGUUGGAAUUGACCGCGUGGCCUGGCGGCGCGAGGGAGACAAAGCAAGGAACGGAACCAUCGAAGCCCGCAACGUGUGGUGCAUCAGCCAGCCAUCUCGGUCAUCUCAGUCAGUCGACCCGUGGCACCUGGAUCUGCCCCGUGACCUCCUGCCAGCGGGCGUUCGACACUUCACUUGACCUCAAGGUGCACAUGGCCUGGCACAAGCAUCGUGGUGACGUCACCGCCACUUAGUGACGAAUGGCGGUUGUUGUUGUUAUACUAAUUUG